GACGUAGGGCGCGAGCGUUGUCCGGAUUUAUUGGGCGUAAAGAGCUCGUAGGCGGCUUGUCGCGUCGAAUGUGAAAUCUCAGGGCUCAACUCUGACAUUGCAUUCGAUACGGGCAGGCUAGAGUUCGGUAGGGGAGACUGGAAUUCCUGGUGUAGCGGUGAAAUGCGCAGAUAUCAGGAGGAACACCGAUGGCGAAGGCAGGGUCUCUGG
rnacentral:rRNA from 1 species